AGUAACGCGUGGGUAACCUGCCCUGUACAGGGGGAUAACAGUCAGAAAUGACUGCUAAUACCGCAUAAGACCACAGCACCGCAUGGUGCAGGGGUAAAAACUCCGGUGGUACAGGAUGGACCCGCGUCUGAUUAGCUGGUUGGUGAGGUAACGGCUCACCAAGGCGACGAUCAGUAGCCGGCUUGAGAGAGUGAACGGCCACAUUGGGACUGAGACACGGCCCAA
rnacentral:rRNA from 1 species